GAUGAACGCUAGCGGCAGGCCUAACACAUGCAAGUCGAGGGGUAAUUCUGAUAGCAAUAUUGGAAACGACCGGCGCACGGGUGAGUAUCGCGUUUGCAACCUACCUCUGACCGGGGGAUAGCCCGGAGAAAUUCGGAUUAACACCCCAUAACACCUUAAGAAGGCAUCUUUUUUUGGUUAAAAUUCAGGUGGUCAGAGAUGGGCAUGCGUACCAUUAGCUGGUUGGUGAGGUAACGGCUCACCAAGGCUACGAUGGUUAGGGGGUCUGAGAGGAUGAUCCCCCACACUGGUACUGAGACACGGACCAGACUCCUACAGGAGGCAGCAGUGAGGAAUAUUGGGCAAUGGGCGCAAGCCUGACCCAGCCAUGCCGCGUGCAGGAUGAAGGCGCUAUGCGUUGUAAACUGCUUUUGUUCGGGAAGAAACCCAUCUACGUGUAGGUGGUUGACGGUACUGAAUGAAUAAGCAUCGGCUAACUCCGUGCCAGCCGCCGCCGUAAAAC
rnacentral:rRNA from 1 species